AUUGAACGCUGGCGGCAGGCCUAACCCAUGCAAGUCGAACGAGUGGCGGGCGGGUGAGUAAUGUCUGGGCAACUGCCUGAUGGAGGGGGAUAACUACUGGAAACGAUAGCUACUACCGCAUACCAUCAGCUGUGCCGCGAUGGGAUUAGCGUGGUGGGGGGGUAACCGCUCACCAAGGCGACGAUCCCUAGCUGGUCUGAGAGGAGUACCAGCGACACUGGAAAUGAGACACGGGCCAGACGCCCACGGGAGGCAGCAGUGGGGAAUAUUGCACAAUGGGCGAAAGCCUGAUGCAGCCAUGCCGCGUGUAUGAAGAAGGCCUUCGGGUUGUAAAGUACUUUCAGCGGGGAGGCGUUACCAGCAGAAGAAGCACCGGCUAACUCCGUGCCAGCAGCCGCGGUAAUUC
rnacentral:rRNA from 1 species